rnacentral:rRNA from 1 species
GACGUAGGGCGCGAGCGUUGUCCGGAUUUAUUGGGCGUAAAGAGCUCGUAGGCGGCUUGUCGCGUCGAAUGUGAAAUCUCAGGGCUCAACUCUGACAUUGCAUUCGAUACGGGCAGGCUCGAGUUCGGUAGGGGAGACUGGAAUUCCUGGUGUAGCGGUGAAAUGCGCAGAUAUCAGGAGGAACACCGGUGGCGAAGGCGGGUCUCUAGGCCGAUACUGACGCUGAGGAGCGAAAGCGUGGGGAGCGAACAGG